CCCUUAGAUGUUCUGGGCCGCACGCGCGCUACACUGAUGCAUUCAACGAGCCUAUCCUUGACCGACAGGUCCGGGUAAUCUUUGAAUCUGCAUCGUGACGGGGAUAGAUUAUUGCAAUUAUUAAUCUUCAACGAGGAAUGCCUAGUAGGCGCAAGUCAUCAGCUUGCGUCGAUUACGUCCCUGCCCUUUGUACACACCGCCCGUCGCACCUACCGAUUAAAUGACUCGGUGAAAAAUUGGGACCGUGAGUCUGUUUGCUUCAUUGCGAGUGGAUUGAUGGGAACUUUUUUAAACCUCGCCAUUUAGAGGAAGGUGAAGUCGUAACA
rnacentral:rRNA from 1 species